rnacentral:rRNA from 1 species
UGCCAGCAGCCGCGGUAAUACGGAGGGUGCGAGCGUUAAUCGGAAUUACUGGGCGUAAAGCGCGCGUAGGCGGUUUGUUAAGUCGGAUGUGAAAGCCCAGGGCUCAACCUUGGAACUGCAUUCGAUACUGGCAUACUAGAGUACGAUAGAGGGUGGUAGAAUUUCUUGUGUAGCAGUGAAAUGCGUAGAUAUGAGAAGGAAUACCAGUGGCGAAGGCGGCCUCCUGGCUCGACACUGACACUGAGGCGCGAAAGCGUGGGGAGCAAACAGGAUUAGAUA